GGUUAGGCUGAGGGGAUCCACCUGUUCCCAUCCCGAACACAGAAGUUAAGCCCUUAUACACCGAAGGUACUGGGCCGGAGACAGCCCGGGAGAAUAGGCAGCUGCCG
rnacentral:rRNA from 1 species